GAUGAACGCUGGCGGCGUGCCUAAUACAUGCAAGUCGAGCGAACGGACGAGAAGCUUGCUUCUCUGAUGUUAGCGGCGGACGGGUGAGUAACACGUGGAUAACCUACCUAUAAGACUGGGAUAACUUCGGGAAACCGGAGCUAAUACCGGAUAAUAUUUUGAACCGCAUGGUUCAAAAGUGAAAGACGGUCUUGCUGUCACUUAUAGAUGGAUCCGCGCUGCAUUAGCUAGUUGGUAAGGUAACGGCUUACCAAGGCAACGAUGCAUAGCCGACCUGAGAGGGUGAUCGGUCACACUGGAACUGAGACACGGUCCAGACUCCUACGGGAGGCAGCAGUAGGGAAUCUUCCGCAAUGGGCGAAAGCCUGACGGAGCAACGCCGCGUGAGUGAUGAAGGUCUUCGGAUCGUAAAACUCUGUUAUUAGGGAAGAACAUAUGUGUAAGUAACUGUGCACAUCUUGACGGUACCUAAUCAGAAAGCCACGGCUAACUACGUG
rnacentral:rRNA from 1 species